GGUAGAGGGCACUAUGUCACCUGCCUGAGCUCACCCCUCGAGCGCAGCAGCUGGGACCUGAAGCUCGGGUUAACCAUUAACCUCCUCCCUGGGGUCAGGAGCCGGGUGCAGGUCCCAGCGUGUGCUGGAAACCCGGUCAGCAUGGGGCACCUCGGUCCCCACACUCCUCCACCGGGGACGGAGGAUACCUCCUGCUCGGUCUCUGGGCCUGAGACUUGGUGGGGAUUAGGAGAGGAGGAGGGUGCGGAAGAGGGUGGCCUUGGAGUUGGAGUCAGUGUUUUUACUGCUGUGACCCAAAGACCUGGUAAGGACCACGUGGGAGAGUAAAGGUUGGUUUGGGGCUCACGGGUUCAGAGGUCUCUGUUCAAAUGCGGCCGGCUUCCUUUCUCUGGUCCCAAGAUGAGGCAAAACAUCAUGGCAGAGGGUGUGGCAGAGGAAAACAUCUCAGGACAUGGCCGUCAGGAAGCAGAGAGAGAGCGCCACUCACCAGGACAAAAUAUAUCCAGAGGCACAUCCCAGCCACCGGCCUCCGCCAGCCCUGCCCGGCCUGCCUGCAGCUGGACCCAGGGGGUCCCUUCAGGAAGAUCCACGCACUGACCAGGGCAAGGCUCUCCUGACCCCAUCAUGUCACCUCUCUGCUCUCGUCUCACACACGACCUUCUGAGGACAUCUAAACCGUGACACUGGGCAAGCGGUCUCCUCUCCCAGGGCCUCAGUCCCCUGUGUCCUGUGGUUAUCUACCUGUUGGACCUUCAGGAUAACCAGGGGCCUGGGGACUCUUCAGGGAUCCUGUGGAGGACGGGAGCCAGGAAUUGGCCCCUACCUGUCCUUUUUUUUUUUUUCCCCAGGGACAUGACUUGGGAAGGGAUAGGGAUGGGGAGGUCAUUGUCUGCCAACGGGCUCCCCCGGGGCGGUCCUUCUCCUCUCUGAGCCCUGGUCUUGGACCUGGGUGGUUUCUGGGGACGGCAGGGAAGCUCACAACCUCUCAGCUGCUGGGAGCAGAGGGGAAGGCUUGGGUUUCGAGAUCUCUGGGGUCAGGGAACCUCAACAAAUGCAGAGACAACUACCCCCUGAGUCCCAUUGUGGCUUCCCUGGGCAUUUCCCUGACAUGGGGCGGGGGUGGGGAGGAGAGGGAGGACAGAACAGGAGGGGACACUUUGUUCCAGCUUACUGAGCCCCCGUGGCGUGCUGGGCGCUGACCUGAGCCAUCUGCAUCAUGACCCCUUUAAGACCCACAGGUGAAGCCUCAUUAGUCCCCAGGAGGAAAUGAAGACCCCAGCGGGAAGGGGAGGUCCAUGGUCAGAGCCACGAGGUGCGGAGGUGGGGCUCACACUGUGGUCCUCUGGGACAUCUACCCUCAGAUGGUCUCCAAAUGCCCUGGAGGGAAAGAGGGAGCUGUCCCCUCCUGUCCUCUCUGUUCCUCUUACCCCAGGCCAGGUGGCAUCUUGUUCUAGCUUGGAGCUCAGCAGAGGGCUUCCUGACGAGUGGGGGCUUCCUGGCCUCCCGGGGGUCCACCUGGGCCUCCUGCCUUCCCUCCUGCCCCUCCUGCUGACCGGGCCACCAGGGUUCCUGUGGUGGGGUUUCCUGGUGCACAGGUAGGGCCCGGCCUGGGUGGGACAAGCAGGUGGCUGGUGACUUUCCUCUCUCCUGCCUGGCUUCAAACGUUGGUCCCCUCAGUCCCAGGUGGUGCCCUCAAGCAGGUGGGCUCCCUUCCUAGGCCUGUUUCUCCUCCCUUAAAUCCUGGGCCCGUGCCUCAGAGUCAUGUGAGGUAUGAAUCACGCACGUUCUUAUUGUCCUUUUAUCACCAUAGGAUUGUGCACAUGUGGAUCUUCUGUCACUUAUUACCAUUGUUCAUAAAUUCCUAAUCCAGGGGGGCUGGGCUGGGGCUCAGUGGCAGAGCGCUUGCCUGGCAUGUGUGAGGCCCUGGGUUCGAUUCUCAGCUCCGCAUAUAAAUGAAUAAAACAAAGGUCCAUCAACAAUUUAAAAAAUUCCUGAUCCAGGCCAGGUGGCUGUGAUUAUCUUAUUAUACCUUCACAUCCAACUUCAGAAACACUUAAGCUCAAAGGGGGAGACCCUUUUCUUUUUUUUUUGGUACCAGGGAUUGAACCCAGGGGCACUUAACCACUGAGCCACAUCCGUAGCCAUUUUUCGUAUUCUAUUUAGAGACAGGGUCUCGCUGAGUUGCUAAGUGCCUUGCUAAGUUGCUGAGGCUGGCUUUGAACUUAUGAUCCUCCUGCCUCAGCCUCCCGAGUCGCUGGGGUGAUAGGCGUGUGCCACCACGCCCGGCUGGGAGACACUUUUCUAAGGUCACACAGCAAGGAGUAGAGCAGGUGAAGCUGGAUCCAAAUCCAAAUCUUAAGGACU
rnacentral:lncRNA from 1 species